UGUGGUAGCCCAAGAGAUUUUGGAAAGGGAAGGUCACACACAUGUGGUAGCCCAAGAGAUUCUGGAAAGGGAAGGUCACACACAUGUGGUAGCCCAAGAGAUUCUGGAAAGGGAAGGUCACACACAUGUGGUAGCCCAAGAGAUUCUGGAAAGGGAAGGUCACACACAUGUGGUAGCCCAAGAGAUUCUGGAAAGGGAAGGUCACACACAUGUGGUAGCCCAAGAGAUUCUGGAAAGGGAAGGUCACACACAUGUGGUAGCCCAAGAGAUUCUGGAAAGGGAAGGUCACACACAUGUGGUAGCCCAAGAGAUUCUGGAAAGGGAAGGUCACACACAUGUGGUAGCCCAAGAGAUUCUGGAAAGGGAAGGUCACACACAUGUGGUAGCCCAAGAGAUUCUGGAAAGGGAAGGUCACACACAUGUGGUAGCCCAAGAGAUUCUGGAAAGGGAAGGUCACACACAUGUGGUAGCCCAAGAGAUUCUGGAAAGGGAAGGUCACACACAUGUGGUAGCCCAAGAGAUUCUGGAAAGGGAAGGUCACACACAUGUGGUAGCCCAAGAGAUUCUGGAAAGGGAAGGUCACACACAUGUGGUAGCCCAAGAGAUUCUGGAAAGGGAAGGUCACACACAUGUGGUAGCCCAAGAGAUUCUGGAAAGGGAAGGUCACACACAUGUGGUAGCCCAAGAGAUUUUGGAAAGGGAAGGUCACACACAUGUGGUAGCCCAAGAGAUUCUGGAAAGGGAAGGUCACACACAUGUGGUAGCCCAAGAGAUUCUGGAAAGGGAAGGUCACACACAUGUGGUAGCCCAAGAGAUUUUGGAAAGAGAAUACAUUAAGGAGAGAUAUGUAGCCAUUGUAGUUUGGAGCUUUUAGUCACUUUAAUCUCUCACAGACAUUUCAAGGACUUAAGUGGAACUUUUUGCUGUACUAAAAGAAAACUAGUCAUCUAAUUUCCUUUGUGUGCCAAUGGAAGUUGCUGAGGGGAGGACGGCCCACCUAUUGCGCUCCAGCCAUUACCAUGAGCACGUCCUCCCCAAUUAAGGUGCCACCAACCUCCUGUGUUGGGUAAAUAACUAAGUGCUCACCACAAACAUACAGACAGUUUAAAACAGAUCCCUUGGCAAGCCAAGUCAGAAACAAAGCAGCCACGCAACCUUCCCGCCUUCCCACCUACACCAAUGUAGAGAAUCAGUGGGUGGCCCCACCAGUACUCAAACCUGGGUCCAGCAACUGUCAAGUCAACAUCUUAGCCAUUAUGCCAGGUGGUCCCUACCUCUUAACCAGCUGAGCAGCACCUCAGAGCGGCUCACACUGACAUACCUGAUUAGCCGGGGAUGAGAGAGAGAGAGAGAGAGAGAGAGAGAGAGAGAGAGAGAGAGAGAGAGAGAGAGAGAGAG